AGGGAGUAAAAAGAAAGACCUGAACACCGACAACACGAUAACACUAAAAACCCACACGGAGGAGGGAAGGACACGCUCACAGAGGAGGCUCUCACGGCGGAGAGAAAAGCUCUCACGGAGGAGAGAAGCAUACCCGUUAUUUUUCUCCUCAAAGUGGAAGACAAAAUGCCCAAUAUACAGUUUGGUCCACCUGCCGUCUCACUUUCUCGGGAAUAUGUUUCCUCGAGUCAUUUCCAAUUGCCAUAUGAGAAAAUCACAGUGAAACAAAUAAGAGAGAGGGAGAGAGAUGGCAGGAACAGAGGAAUUUGCGGAAGCAGAUAACGCAGAGGCCAUAUUCAACAGAAUCGAACAAAAAUCUCGAAAGAUCGAGAGCUUACUCAAACAGUGUCACUCCAAAUCCUUUCCCCUUAAUACAUUCAAUUUUCUGUAAAACCCCUUAAUGAUUUGGUAUUCCCCAGAAUCCUUAACUGUUUGAUCCGUUUUUCAUCUAGGUACAAGACAGUUGAAGCUCUAAAAACUGCUCUUGAAGGCUCGCCUCUCAACACCAAAGACGAGCGUUGCAAGUCUGCAAAUUGGAUAAUGGUGCAUAGAGCUAUCAUGGCUAUUAAAGAGGUGGUUGCAAUGUUUUCUUCUUUGGAUCCCGAGUACUAUGACAUUCUCAUGAAGGGCUCAGACGUCACAAUGGAGAGGAAGGCUCGUGAAAGUAACAGUGAGUUCGAGGACGAUGGUGAUUCAACAGCAAUGAGCUGAAUAUGAAGCAGGAAGAGGAUGAAUUUGAUGAUGAGCACGAUGGCGAGGAGGAGGAAGAAGAAUCAGAAAAUUAGGAAGAAGAUGGAGGAGAAGUUGGGGAAGAGGAAAAUGGUGAUGGGCAAAACGAUAAUAAAGGCGCCGAGAUGGAAGAACUCGAGAAAGAAUACAUGAAUCUUCGUCACCAGGAGCAAAUCUAAGGGGUCAUAAGGACGAAGAUCUUCUUAAAGGUCAAGCAGUGAAUAACCAAAAGGUGUGUUGUUCAAAAUAAUAGCUCUUGUAAUAUCCAUGAAAUAGGUUUUGUUUGUCAAUAUGAAAUUAUUGCUCCUUGUUUAAAGCUUCUUUUUUUGCGAUUCACAUGAGGGUGUCAGUGCAGCGUAUUCUGAUCUAGUGGACUCAUCAAGAGAACUUUGGACUAACUAGCGGAACUACAAGAAGUAUGGCUGUCAAAAGCUUUACUUGAGAAGAACCCGUCCAUUGUUCAAGCAACACAUAGUAAAAUGUUUAUGAGAAGAUAGUAAAUUUCAUGGCUCCAGAGACCAUGGCCGUUUCUCUUAUGCUUCCCGACCUCAAUAAUUUGUUCGAGUUGAAGCAGCAGAAAACCAAC